rnacentral:ncRNA from 2 species
AAUAACCAAAUAUAACAUUAGGAGUCUGGGAUUAAGGGUUAAAUUUAUAAAUUUCUUACGCCUCCCUCCAGGGGCCAGGUAUCAUAUACACCGCCAAAAUAAAGAGCCUUAGUACUAGAAGAAAAGCGCCUAGACUU